GACGAACGCUGGCGGCGUGCUUAACACAUGCAAGUCGAACGGAAAGGCCCUGCUUUUGUGGGGUGCUCGAGUGGCGAACGGGUGAGUAACACGUGAGUAACCUGCCCUUGACUUUGGGAUAACUUCAGGAAACUGGGGCUAAUACCGGAUAGGAGCUCCUGCUGCAUGGUGGGGGUUGGAAAGUUUCGGCGGUUGGGGAUGGACUCGCGGCUUAUCAGCUUGUUUGGGGGGUAGUGGCUUACCAAGGCUUUGACGGGUAGCCGGCCUGAGAGGGUGACCGGCCACAUUGGGACUGAGAUACGGCCCAGACGCCUACGGGAGGCAGCAGUGGGGAAUAUUGCACAAUGGGCGGAAGCCUGAUGCAGCAACGCCGCGUGCGGGAUGACGGCCUUCGGGUUGUAAACCGCUUUCGCCUGUGACGAAGCGUGAGUGACGGUAAUGGGUAAAGAAGCACCGGCUAACUACGUG
rnacentral:rRNA from 1 species